rnacentral:lncRNA from 1 species
GCCAUUAAGCUCCUGGCUUGUUCUCUCGUGACCUUUGGAGGCCAUGGUAACCCUUCUGCCACCACGGUGGUUUUGUGUGUAUUUUGAUUGCUGUGGACUGUAUACGAGCUCACUGGCCUGCAGAGGUUCACGGCCGUCUCCCUCAUGCCCAGGGGAAGCUCUGGCAUCUCUUUUCAAAUGCCCUCUGCAGCCCGCUGUCCAGGUGGCUCCCUGAUGCCAUGUUAGGACUUGAGCCAGAGUCUCUAUAGCCAAGGCUGGUCUACAAUGCACCAUCUUAGACAUACAGCAGUCCUUCCACCUGGCUUGGGAACCUAGUUUUGAUAUACCUUAAACUUCCCUGUCACUCUACCCUGAAACAGAGCACACCUCCCACAAAACCACACUCUAUGAUCUCUGUGAAAAUCUUCAGGAGCCCUGUCCAGGCAGUGAUGUGGACGUCUACUGUUAGGCUCCCUGUGAGAUCCAAAUGAGAGCUGCACCCCGGUUCUCUCAAGUUGCUUAUUUGCAUCUGCACUUAAACCCAGAGGCCCCAAGGUCACGUGUUAGGAUACUAUAUGGGUACCAUACAUUUCAAAGUUGCUCAUGGAAAUGAGCGACUUGCUCCAUAGUAACAUGUCCUCAAAUGGCGAUCCCACAUGAUGAAGGAGAACCCACCUGGCGCAUCUGAGACAGGCUUCUGUCGUCAGAUACUUUCCUUUUGGAUUUCAGGUUCGGAUCACUACUUCAGAAUAUUUUACUUACAACGUUGGCUGUGUGUUUGCAAAUGCCGGUGCGAUGAUUAAAAAAAAAAUCAAU